AGUUCGGAUUGUAGGCUGCAACUCGCCUACAUGAAGUCGGAAUCGCUAGUAAUCGCGGAUCAGCAUGCCGCGGUGAAUACGUUCCCGGGCCUUGUACACACCGCCCGUCACACCAUGAGAGUUUGUAACACCCAAAGCCGGUGGGUAACCUUUUGGAGCCAGCCGUCUAAGGUGGGACAGAUGAUUGGGGUGAAGUCGUAACAAGGUAAC
rnacentral:rRNA from 1 species